rnacentral:rRNA from 1 species
CCUACGGGAGGCAGCAGUAAGGAAUAUUGGACAAUGCUCGCAAGAGUGAUCCCGCCAUGCCGCGUGCAGGAAGAAUGCCCUAUGGGUAGUAAACUGCUUUUGAACUAGAGAAAAUCCCAGUACGUGUACUGGGCUGAUAGUAUAGUUAGAAUAAGCAUCGGCUAACUUCGUGCCAGCAGCCGCGGUAAGACGAAGGAUGCAAGCGUUAUCCGGAUUCAUUGGGUUUAAAGGGAGCGUAGGUGGACUGAUAAGUCAGUGGUGAAAUCUCCGAGCUUAACUCGGAAAUUGCCAUUGAUACUGUUGGUCUUGAGUACAGUUGCUGUGGGCGGAAUAUGACAUGUAGUGGUGAAAUACAUAGAGAUGUCAUAGAACACCGAUUGCGAAGGCAGCUCACAAAGCUGUAACUGACACUGAGGCUCGAAAGUGCGGGGAUCAAACAGGAUUAGAUACCCUGGUAGUCCGCACCGUAAACGAUGAUUACUCGCUGCUAGGGGGCAACCUUUAGUGGCUUAGCGAAAGCGAUAAGUAAUCCACCUGGGAGUACGCCGGCAACGGUGAAACGUCAAAUGAAUUGACGG